AUGAAUGUUUAAGGUUCAAUUUCUGUCAUAAAUCUCAACUCAAAAAAUAAAAAGGAAUUGGCUUCCACAAGUGCUGAAAAAAAAAUUCCUCAGGAGUUCUCAUUGUAGCUCAGCAGGUUAAGAACCCAACUAGUAUUCAUGAGGAUGCGGAUUUGAUCUCUGGCCCCAUUCUGUGGGUUAAGGAUCUGGUGUUGUCGUGUGCUGUGGCACAGAUCACAGAUGUGCUCAGAUACCCAUGGCUGUGGUGUUGGCCAGCAGCUGCAGCUCUGAUUCAGCCCCUAGACUGGGAACUUCCAUGUGCUGUGGGUGUGGCCCUAAAAAGAAAAAAAAAAAAAAGAAAGAAAAAGAAAAAAUCCUCAGACACCAUUCUAUCAAGAGGAACCAGGGCUGGCUGCCAAGAGAGACAAGGCAGUCCUUUCUUUCAAACAGCCCUCUUCAGGCUUCAAGCCACCUGAGACCCAGCCCCAGGUCUGCCUGUGCCCCACUCCCUUCCCAGUGACUUGGGCGAAUCGUUGUACUUCUUUGCACCUGAUUCCUCACCUAUGAAGAUGACGGCAGUUUUUCUACCUGCUUCACAGGGUGGCUGUAAGGAUCAGGUUUGUGCAAAAGCAGGCCAGGGACUGAUGAGGCGAUGCAUGCAGAUGGAGGCUACGGAGAUUGGCCAGGGAGGUGAGGAGGUGGGGUUCUGUCCUUCUCCCACCUAAAUGGCAGAUGAGAGAAGGAGGAGGAGGCUGCUAAUGUCAAGGACGACCACAGCCAUGACAAUGACGCUUGUCAUCUCAGAGCAGAUUCUGUACACAGGCUGAGCAGCAACCAGGUAGAAAUGGGCAAGGCUCAGGCAGACCCCUGUUUCUCCUCUCCCUGAGAGCCCACCUUGGUUUAGGGCAUAAUCCUAGACCAGGACACUCACAUGAUUUAACUCGUUUCGGCAAUUUCUUUCCAGCAUUUUUUUUUUGUUUGUUUGUUUGUUUGUUUACAUUAAGGAUAAGUGUUCCAGGGUACGUGUCAAAAAGAAAAUGAUCAGAGUAGAAUGAGUGGCAUCAACUGCCACUGAUAACCAAGGCUCCAGGCAAUAACAUGGAUAUGCUGCCUUUCCUCCCAGAUGCUCAGCAAGCAGGUGCAGAUGAGAUCUCAUAUUUGCACCAGACGCUUCCCCUGGCCCCACAGGAAAAGUGAGCCCCUCCCCACUCAGGGAUGCUCUCCCAAGAUGUUGCAGCAAUCUUUAUGAGCCAGAGAGCAGAGGAGGGCAACUGAUGUUUAUUGGGUGCUAACGAGUACUUUACUUAAUCCUCACAAUUAUCCUAUGCAAUAAAAAUCAUUAUCCCCAUCUUAUAGAUGAGACGACGCGAAGUCUUAGAGAUAAAGUGACUUGUCCAAGAUCACAUUGCUAAUAAGCAGAGGAACUGGAGCUUGAGAAAGGCCUGGCUCAGAGCAUUGGAUGCUAAGUGCUGUGGGAAAUGCAGACAUCAAUGUUCCAGGGUUAACACACCCUUUAGGAAACUUUCAGUCCAGUGAGGGAAACAACAGGUGCAACUGACAUAAAAUAUAAGGUGGGCUGCAGUAAGCAGAACCUGAAAGUAAUGGACUCUGAGUUCCCAGAGGAAGGAACAAUGAAUUUUGACUCCGAUCCAGAUGGCACUUAAAGGGGGCCAUGAAAGACGGUAGAACCACAGCAGGAGGAAAAUGGAGAGAUGCAGGGGAGGGAUGGAGAGGCGGUGGGGGGAUAGACACUAGCCUGGCAAAGGCCUGGGAGUCUGAGAAUACCUGCCAGAUUGCUCAGUCAGGAAGGUAGAGACCACGUGACUUUCCUGCUUCCAGUUCCUUCUCUUCCAGGAUAAGGCGCAGGCACCUAAACCAGCAUAACCAGGGCCUUCAGACACUGGGCUCCCCCAAAAGCCAUGAACUGCCAUAGUCAUGUCAGUCUCCCCAACUUUCCCCACCUUCUUUCACACUGAGAUCAUUAUUUUAUUUUGUUUUGUUUUGUUUUAUUUUUUCUUUUUGUCCAUGCCUGUGGCAUGUGGAAGUUCCUGGGCCCGGAAAUGAACCUGUGCCACAGCAGCAACCCAAGGCACAGUGGCAAUGCCAGAUCCUUAACCCACUGAGCCACCAGGGAACUCUCAGAAGUCCUUCUUCUUCUUCUUUUUUUUUUUUUUUUGCUUUUUAGGGCCGCACCUAUGGCAUGCGGAAUUGUCCGGGCUAGGGAUGGAAUCAGAGCUGCAGCUGCCAGCCAACAUCACAGCCACAGCAACGUGGGAUCUGAAUCGUGUCUGUGACCUAUACCACUGCUCGUGGCAAUGCUGGAUCCUUAACCCACUGAGCGAGGCCAGGGAUCAAACCUACAUUCUUAUGGAUACUAGCUGGGUUCCUAACCCACUGAGCCACUAUGGGAACUCCUGAAGAAGCCUUUUAGAAACAGGAACCAGAGAGCACAGAGCACAUCCAAGCUCUGGCUAAGGUGGCUGGGCACUGUCCUGGAGGGUUGGCAGUAUGCCAUGAUGCCAGACACCACUGCUGUGGCCAGGUCUGGGGAGGGGUGAGAAAUUGCCUUGUAUGCAGAGGAGCUCUUAAGAAAUACUACGUGAAUAAGUGGAAGCCUUGGGAAACCACCUAUUAUAUGACUAAGGCUCUGAGACAUCUCUGUUGAUGGCCUGGCAGAGCGCUCGCCAGCCGAAUCCAUCACUGAAAACCUCAGAGAGCUUCUGGGUGCAUUCAGAUUAUGGGUUGUGGGAAUCUCAGGUCAUAAAACUUUCGCCCAGCUGCUCAGGUGCCUGGCCAGGCAAUUAAGGAUUCUUUCAAGCAGAUCAAAAGACGCUGGUGAGGUGAUCUCAGGAAGCUUCCCUGUGAGGAAGGCAGGAGUCAGGUCUCAUUAUCCUCAUCUUACAGAUGAGAAAAGUAGGUUCCCUGGUGACUAAGUCCCUUGCCUGAAGUCAAACAGCCAGCAAAGGGUGGAACCCAAAAUGAGCAGCUCAGUCACCCAAUUCCCAGGACACCAUCAUCCCAGAGCCUCCCAUUCCAUGGAAGCUGGAGUGCUCCCGGGAAGUCUGGACCCACAUUUGGGAUGUUAGGGCAUGGAGUGGUCCACAGAGACUCUUCCAACAAUUCAGCAUCCACGGACACUUAACACGUCCACGCAGUGACUUGGCAUCUGCCCUUUGCAACAUCAAGAACACAAGACCCCAACCUACCAACAUGGUUAUUCCUUGGCCCCCUUCUAUGCAAACCAUUGCAGAGGGCAUCCAUUUUAGCGGUCAUCUUACAGAACUUCUGUACCUGACUUCAGAUCCCAGUUCUGUGCUAUUCCCAGGACCUAAGUCUCACUUCCUGCAUAUGAGAUUUGGAGAUAAUUCAAAAUUCCUCUCCAGCUGGGUUAUUGUGAGGUCAGGUGCAUCAAAAGCAGAGCCGAGAGCCCGGCACGUGGUAACCACUUAUUAAAUAUCAGCAAUUAUUAAUGGCAUUGCUCAUAUGAGAGAUCUGAGCUUGAAAAGCAAUUCCCCGUUCUUUAGCUGUUCACAGCCUGCCUGCUAAGGGAUUAGGUUUGACUUUUAGUAUUUGACCAACUCCCUUCCUUACAGGACAUGGAAGUUCAUUUUUACUCUUCUUUUUUUUGUGUGUGUGUGUCUUUUUGUCUUUUGUUUUUUUUCUAGGGCCGCACCCAUGGCAUAUGGAGGUUACCCGGCUAGAGGUCUAAACAGAGCUGUAGCCACUGGCCUACACCACAGCCACAGCAAUGCAGGAUCCGAGCCGCAUAUGCGACCUACACCACAGCUCACGGCAAUGCCGGAUCCUUAACCCACUGAGCGAGGCCAGGGAUUGAACCGGCAACCUCAUGGUUCCUAGUCGGAUUUGUUUCUGCUGCACCACAACGGGAACUCCUCAUUUUUAUUCUUAACAAUCUCAGCUACUUGCCAUGUUUUAAAAGCAAAGUAUACCUGUUAUAGCCAGAAUGCUCUAAAAGUCAGAGAGGCAUCUGGUUUGUCAUGGCCUCAAAAUCCUCUCUGGGGUCCUGCCUUGUACCUCCCUAGUCUUUCCAUUGCCAUCUGGUCAUCAGUAGGACCAGGGUCCAACCAAUGAAAGGCAGCUAGCCAAGAGAGGCCAGAGGUUGGGAUUCUGAUGCAAGUUGGCAUGGGCACCUGUGGUCCCUGACUCUAAUAGCAUCUUGGUUUGCAUCAGUGUUAUGGUGUCUCCUGACCUGGAAGGCUGUUUCUCCCAACGAACCCUGGUUACUCAAUAUGCUUGAAAAGGAGUGUAUCUUCUUGUAGGCUCUUACUCUUUUUUUUUUUUUUUGUCUUUUUGCCUUUUCUAGGGCCACACCCUCGGCAUAGGGAAAUUCCCAGGCCAGGGGUUGAAUCGGAGCUGUAGCCACCGGCCUACGCCAGAGCCACAGCAACGCAGGAUCCGAGCCGCGUCUGCAACCUACACCACAGCUCUCGGCAACGCCGGAUCCUUCACCCACUGAGCAAGGGCAGGGACCGAACCCGCAACCUCAUGGUUCCUAGUCGGAUUCGUUAACCACUGCGCCACGACGGGAACUCCGUCUGCUGACACUUCUGAAGGCAGUGGGGAGAAGGACCCUGGUUUCUCCCUUCCUGAUGCCCUUCCAAAGUGGUCCAUUGCCUCCCAUUGACUGGACCAAGCCAGAAACCAGUGGACACAAGAGUGACAAAGGGAUCUGGAGCCAACCAGCCCUGGGCCAAAGAAGCAGUCUACUUACAGCAAUGCAGUAAGACUCUAGAAAUGAGUCUCAUCACAAAGAGACUCAGAAUCCCAAAGACUCAGACUCUGGAAGACCAUGGGAAUCCAUCUGGCCUGACCCCUCAUUCCACAAGUGAGGCCUUGAAGAGGAAAAGAAUGUGACUUGCCCCAAAUCCUCUAGCUAGGGGCAGCCUGAAGCCCAGGCAUCUGAAUUCCCAGGUCAUAGCCUUUUCGCAGCAUUAACUUUACAAGGAUGAGUAGCACUUCAACUUAACAAAGGGAUGUAUUCCAGUAGUUGAUUUUUUUUGUUUGUUUGUUUUUACAGCUGCACCUGCCGCACACAGAAGUUCCCCGGCUAGGGGUCAAAUCAGAGCUACAGCUGCGGCCGACACCACAGCCUCAGCACCAUGGGAUCUGAGCCUCAUCUGUGACUUAUGCCGCAGCUUGCAGCAAUGCCAGAUCCUUAACCCACUGAGCAAGGCCAGGGAUCAAACUCUAAUCCUCAAAGACAGCAUCAGGUCCUUAACUCACUGAGCCACAAUGGGAACUCCUAACAGUUGAUUUCUAAGACAGUUGUUUGGAUCUUUGUACUCAUUUUCCCGUAGAAACAAAGUUAUCUUGGCUGAUUAUGGUCCCAGACUGGCUGUUUAGCCCACAACCAGGGAAAGAAGGAAACUUCCUUCUCCCAGUUAAUGUGAAAUCCAGAGGCGGAUCAGCCUCUCUUUCCCAGGGCAGAACAGAAGAGCCUCCCCAUCUCCUUGCUUUACCAUUAAGGGGGUGCUGGGGGGGGGAACCACCCUGCCUCCAUCACUCCUCUCCCAUCACAGCCAGACUCUCCCACAGUGGUCACUCCUGUGGCUGCAGGGCCAACAGCAGAGCAGACUCCCCUGGAAGGCUGGAAGCAGGGUUUUUUGUUUUGUUUUGUUUUGUUUUGUUUUGGGGGGGUUUCGUUGUUGUUUUUGCCCUUCAAACCUUUGCACUGUUGGCACUCCCCUAGUCACUGGCCCACCUCAGGCCUGCAAUUGUCGCCGUGGGGUCUGAAUCAGCAUCUUCAAAGUACAGGCAUUAUUAUGAGAUCAUUUUACAUUUGGAAAAAUGAAAAAAAAACAAAAAAA
rnacentral:lncRNA from 1 species